ensembl:snRNA U6 U6 spliceosomal RNA
GCUCGCUUUGGCGGGACAUACACUAAAAUUAGAACAAUACAGAGAAGAUUAGCACGGCCCCUGUGCAAGAUGACAUGCAAAUUCAUGAAGCAUUCCAUAUUUUU